rnacentral:rRNA from 1 species
UACGUAGGGGGCGAGCGUUGUCCGGAGUUACUGGGCGUAAAGCGCACGCAGGCGGUGCUGCGCGGUUGGGGUUACAGCUCCCGGCUCAACCGGGAGAGCGCCUCGAAGACGGCAGCACUUGAGGGCCAGAGAGGGACACGGAACUCCGGGUGGAGUGGUGAAAUGCGUAGAUAUCCGGAAGAACACCAAAGGCGAAGGCAGUGUCCUGGCUGGUACCUGACGCUCAGGUGCGAAAGCUAGGGGAGCGAACGGG